CGAGCCCGGGUCGGAGGGCGACGCGUCCCUGAGUGACUUGGGUGGGUGGGUGGGCGUGCGAGGAGGGACGGGCUCCCCAGCCGGCCGAGGUGAGAGGGAAGCUCUUAGCCGGCGCCUCCCUGUAGUGCCAAGGUCUCCGUGACGGCGGGCCGCGCAAGGCCCCGAAAGCCCGCUCUCCUAAACCCUCGGUGAGAGCCGAGCUGCCACAGAGCGUGUUCACAAAGGGUCACCACACACGGAGCUGCCCCUCCCCGUCUCCCUAAACCCCAUCUGCGAGGCCAGGGGCUUUUCCACCAGGAUUCUGGGUGUUCCUCCUCCUUCCCUCCCUCCCAGAUCUUCUAACGGAUAAAGAACUGAAAAUGCUUGGAAGACAGCUUAAGGAUCUGGGAACUGUCUCUGCAAAGACCAUCAGAACCAUCUUUUCACUGAAAUAAAAUGACCCAGAGGAGAGAAGACUGGCAUGAAAAAAAAGGUGAAAUGUUUGUUUGUUUUUCCUCCUGAGACAAACUUUUGGAAUCAGAUCCCUCAGCCGCGCGCCUCUGCCGAAGUACGGAUCUGACUGUUCCAGCACCUUCGUUUUCUUCCCACGAUGAUGUUUGGGCACUGGGACACGUCACCCUCACCCAGAACGACAAGGUUCAAGCUUGCUCCCUCACACCGAGCAUCUCCCAGCUCUUCCUGGCAGACGGGCAUCCCGCAGGCCCAGGUUCUCUGGUCCUAGCCCUUUUCUCUGCUGGGAAGGAGGAACCAUGCGGCCCCUUGGAGCAGGGGGCGGCCUCCAGCACAGGAGAGCGGCCUUGACGGUCUCGUCCAACAGGUUCCCCUACUUUAUUUUCUCUUGCUUCUGCAGUGCCAAGAGGGGAGGACCGGAAUACUUGAGAUAUUUCCCCCUCCCAGUCUUCCUGGGGACUAAGCAUUCUGACCACCAGAUUCCCGGCAGACGCAGCAAUGGAGUUUCUGGGAUGAACAGCCCUCCCAGCCUCCAUACCACUUCCACAGGCAGCUGUCUCCCUUCCCCACCCGGCAGGUGCUGCUAGAAUUCCAUCGACCUCAACAUUCCUAGAGUGGCUGGAAUUGGUCGGGACGUCCAACCUCGAAGGGAAGGCAGCAAAGCGAACCAGCCUGGGCACUGCCCCUUGGACGACGCGCACCGUUCGAGUUCAGGGACUCGGCACUCUGAGUAAGAAACUCAAAUCAGUUUAGCGCAGCACACCCCCCGGGCCGGCCUCCUGCCUCUGACAGCGGCACAAAGGGCUAUUCUGUGAGAAAACGUUGCUGCUCUUUGCCAUGUCAGCCUCAGGCUUGGAGGGUGACUCCACACGACAUGCUGAUUUUCCUUAACAGUGUGUUGUUUAUCUGGCCUUGUCUCCAGUGUCUCUCUUUUGGGCCUCAGUCAUCUGUUGCAGUGUUUUUGUAUUAAGUAAUCUAAAGGAAAGAGUAUUAGUUAGGCUAGAGGUCAGGAGUCAGGGGUUCAAUCUGUAGCUCUGUCUUAAGGUGAUAUAUGACCUUGGGUAUUUACCUUCUCCAGGCCUUCAUGUAAAACACUGGGGGCUGGAUUUGAUUACAGCUAUGUUCUAAAACUCCAUGAGUGUUCUUUUUUUUUUCUUUUUUUUUUUUUGGAGGGGGGAGGUAAUUAAGUUUAUUUAUUAGGUUGAUUUAUUUACUUAUUUAAGUUUUUUUUAAUGGAGGUACUGGGAAUUGAACCCAGGACCUCGUGCAUGCUAAGCACACACUCUACCACUAAGCUAUACCCUCCCUACCAUAAGUAUUCUUUAAACUACAUUUAAGUAUUACAAAUAGAUAAUAGUAUUUAAAGUAGUAUUUUCUUACUAUUGUAAGAUAGUACUUUCCCCACAGUUGUUCUUACGUUAUUCUGGUCAAAUUUUAAGGACUACUGCUGUUUUCUAGUCUUGUACGUUUAUCUUAUCUGUGCUUUUCACGACUGAAUUAACUUCAUCACACUCCCCCUUUACUUCGGCUUUACUGACUGCAGAUCUACUGUCUUUUUUCCCCCUUUCUUUAUAAAUCUACUUUGAUAAACUUACCAAGAAAGUCUCAAAAUGUUCUUGGUUAUUUUUGUUACCCAUAUCUGGAGAGACUUCAGCCCUAAAGAAAGUAGUCUGUACUCGAGGCAGGAUAAGGGUGCUGUCUGCUUACCCCACAGUCAGGUGGCUCUGUGACAGCAGCAGUGCACUGCGUUUGUGUCUUUUGGGGCUGCCCACGAUGUCUCCUCAGAUGCCUUUCCUGUGUUAUAAAUAGGACUUCAGAAUCCAUCAUCUUAUAAAUACAUUUGAAACCUUCUCCCCCCAGUAUUUUACUCUCCACAGGAGUACGUAUCUCCGGCUUUCUGCACAUUCACGGAGCUUUGAGAGCUCUUUUGGCCCUUUAUCCCCUUGGAUCUUCAUUAUCUGGAAGAAGAGUCAUCCACAGAAUUGAAGGUUGUACUGUGUGUUUCCACUUCCAUUUCUUUACAUGCUGAAAACAAACAAACAAACAAACAAACGCUCAUACUCAUCCUGACCCCUGGGAGGGAGUGGCACUUGGUGGCAGAUGGUGAGUGAGGAUCAAGGUGCAGAUCCUUCCUGAAGGAUGGGAAAACUUAGCAUUUUGUGUGUGUGUGAUUCAAAUUUGUAUAAAUUAUAUUCCAUUUAUAGUUAUCAUAAAAUAUUGGCUACUUUCCCUAUGGUGUACAAUACAUCCGUAUAGCUUAUUUAUUUUAUACGUAAUAGUUUGUACCAUUAGCAUUUUGUUUGAACGUGAAUUUUAGUAGCAGGUUAUACAGUAGUUGGUAGCAGAGUCGUGGUUGGACUCACAUCACGUCAUGGCUUUCCCCACUUUAUCCCAUUUAUGCAUUUACUCAUGAAUUGAGUGGCUCCCACAAGCCGGGCACUAAGCUUGAUGCCAAGAAAAAUGGUGAGUAAAGCUCACCCUGCCCUGGAGGGAUUUGCAGACUAGAAGGCUACAUGUUUAGGCAACUGCAGACCUGGAUGAGAAUGCCAGGAGAGGAGUGGGCUGGGAGCUGGGCAGUCAGGGAGGCUUCUUGGAGUGAAGGUGUGUGUGUUAAAAGACCAGCAGCAGUUGGAGGUGGAGGAUUAUCCUGACUGAAGGAACAGCAAGUGCCUGAGGACGCAUGUACCUCCUAGAACACCCAGUGGCUCAAGACCUUGGAGCUCAGGCUGGAGCAAUCAGCAGAUGCUGACCACAGACAGCCUGGGAUGCUCUGCUAAAAUGUUUGAACGUUCUCUUGAAGGCAAUGGGAGGUCAUAGAGGGAUUUUUAAAGUAGAGGAAUAUCAUGAUCAUAUUAUUGUACUUACUUUAGAAAAAUCGCUUGGAGUUUUCUAAGGCGAAGGCCAGAGACAUUCGGUACUAGAAACUGCUGGAAUAAACCAAGCAGGAGAGUGUGGCUUCAGUUAAGAUGGUGGCCUUCGAAAGGAGGGAAGUGGGGCGGUCAGAGACAUAAAGGGAAGAGGUAGAGACCACAGGACUCUUACGAUUUAUGGAUUGUCAAGAGUUAGGGAAAGGGAGGACCCAAGAUGAAAUUUGGGUUUCUGGGUCGGGCUUCUGAGCUUGAAAGGACCAAGAGAAGGUUUUAGUGUUGAGUGCAAAGGGGAAUGAAGUCCUGAUUCUCAUGGCCACCUUGACGCAGCAGCCAGGGUCCAAGUCAUGAGGACUCAGAAUGGAGAGGGACUAUUCUAAGAAUGAAGUGGGUUUUCUUUGCCUCCUUGGCCCACUUCCCUUUAGGUCAAGUGUGCUGGGGCUACGCCUUGGUGAGAUUUUCUGACCUGUCGUCCAUUCCAUUGGGAUUUCUGCUCAAUAAUUGGUAAAGAACAUUGAUUUUCUCAUUUCCCACGUAGAGCCUAGAAGGAGGCAGUACUGCACAAUUGUGGCUACAGCUGUCAUUUUGCUACCUUUGGAAUGUAUGUUUCUGAGACUGUUGGCUCUGAGUGCCAGAGCAGAGAAUAUAAGGAGACAUCCAUGCAGGCGUCACGUAAAGGGGUUGGGCUUUGGGGCCAGAGAGACUAACUGGGUAAGCCUAGGCGACCUUAAUUUCCUCCUCUGUAAAAUGGGGAAAUUAGCACCCACUCCAGGAACUUGCUGCGAGAAUUACAAUGAGGUAAAGCAUUUAUGGUGCCUAGCAGAUGAAAACGCCCAAUAAAUAUUAGUUUCUGCCCCCCACCCUCAUCCACAGACACUUAUACUCACACCUUCUCACGCUGAGGAAACUCCAUGCUGCCCUGCCCUUUACUACCUUGGGUGUUUUGUUUUGUUUUUUUUAAUUUCUUAGACAACAGAGAGAAAAGAAGAAAAAAGGAGAGAAGCGGGAAGGGGGAGGGAUCCAAAUUAAACGUAGGAACUUCACUGAGCUGGGUGCUGUUGUUUAAACAAAAAGGCCUGGUACCUUGGGAGGUGAGGCCUCUUCCCAACCGGUACAGCUUCUGCUGGCGGAUGGCCUCCUGUGCUUCGGACCUCUGAGGAAGAUGCAGCAAAGGUGUCGAACCCCACCCAGGGGCGGAAGGUAUUUAUCAAGUCUGCCAGGAUUUCUCUCCCAGGCCUUGGGGAUUUGCAGGCAUCUCCUUUGCAUUUCCUGGAGGCCUGGAAUGCCGGCUUUUGUCUUGGAUCUCCCUGGCAGAGCAAGGCACUCUCCUUUCCUAUCUGCAGUCUUUCUCUGGGCAGGACGUCCCCAGGCUUGGCACCAGCCUCCCUGGGUGUGCUGGGAGCUGUGGCCGGAGGUCCUGGGUGCCAGGCGUCUCUCCUGGCCUGGUCCUCAGUCCCGUCCCAUCAGCCGCCAGCACUGACGCUUGUCACUUAAGGUUAUCCUGGAUGGAAAACGGGGCUGAUUUACUCCAGCUCAAACGCAAUGUUUCGCACACUACAGGGCUCAUUGGUGGGUUCCAAAGUACAUCUAGGAUUUUAAGGGGAAAAAAAAUCAGACUCCAUCACCAUAAUGGUAGGUAUUGUUUCAUGAAACUUUUUCAAAUUUUAAAUAUGCAAAAUAUACUGGUCCUAUUCAAAAACCUUAAAAGCCAAGGCCGUGAACUCGCGGCAGUUUCCUGUGAGGAUAUGAGGUAUACUUAGGUGGGAAAAUGUCAUCAUUUAAAAAUUUCUUAGCUAGGCUAAUAACUGGAAGGUCAUGUGGCUUAGUGGAGAAAACUUCAGCUUUGGAGUUAGAACUGGGUCAGUUUUUUUACUCUCUCACUAACUGUGUGACCUUGGACAACUUAAGGGAUCUCUCUGAGCCACCUGAGAAUUAUUUGUAAAAGAGAGAUAAGCAUCGUGGCCUGUAGGACCACUGUGAGGAUUAAACAAAAUCAUCUCUGUAUAGUGCUCAGUACAUAGGAGAUGCAUGAUAAAUAAAGCUAAUUUUCUAGUCUUUUUUUAAAAUUAAUCACUUUAUUUUUUAAUGGAGGU